GACGAACGCUGGCGGCGUGCUUAACACAUGCAAGUCGAACGGAAAGGCCCUGCUUUUGUGGGGUGCUCGAGUGGCGAACGGGUGAGUAACACGUGAGUAACCUGCCCUUGACUUUGGGAUAACUUCAGGAAACUGGGGCUAAUACCGGAUAGGAGCUCCUGCUGCAUGGUGGGGGUUGGAAAUUUUCGGCGGUUGGGGAUGGACUCGCGGCUUAUCAGCUUGUUGGUGGGGUAGUGGCUUACCAAGGCUUUGACGGGUAGCCGGCCUGAGAGGGUGACCGGCCACAUUGGGACUGAGAUACGGCCCAGACUCCUACGGGAGGCAGCAGUGGGGAAUAUUGCACAAUGGGCGGAAGCCUGAUGCAGCAACGCCGCGUGCUGGAUGACGGCCUUCGGGUUGUAAACCGCUUUCGCCUGUGACGAAGCGUGAGUGACGGUAAUGGGUAAAGAAGCACCGGCUAACUACGUG
rnacentral:rRNA from 1 species